rnacentral:rRNA from 1 species
UACGUAGGGUGCAAGCGUUGUCCGGAAUUAUUGGGCGUAAAGAGCUCGUAGGCGGUCUGUCGCGUCUGCUGUGAAAACUCAGGGCUUAACCCUGAGCUUGCAGUGGGUACGGGCAGACUAGAGUGCGGUAGGGGAGACUGGAAUUCCGUGGUGUAGCGGUGAAAUGCGCAGAUAUCAGGAGGAACACCGGUGGCGAAGGCGGUUCUCUGGGCAUUACCUGA